rnacentral:rRNA from 1 species
CCUUGAGUUUGAUAUGGCUCAGGACGAACGCUGGCGGCGUGCCUAACACAUGCAAGUCGAGCGAUGAAGCCCUUCGGGGCUGAUUAGCGGCGGACGGGUGAGUAACACGUGGGUAACCUGCCUCAUAGAGGGGGAUAGCCUCCCGAAAGGGAGAUUAAUACCGCAUAACAUAUUUUGGUUGCAUGACUGAAAUAUCAAAGGAGUAAUCCGCUAUGAGAUGGACCCGCGGCGCAUUAGCUAGUUGGUGAGGUAAGGGCUCACCAAGGCGACGAUGCGUAGCCGACCUGAGAGGGUGAUCGGCCACAUUGGAACUGAGACACGGUCCAGACUCCUACGGGAGGCAGCAGUGGGGAAUAUUGCGCAAUGGAGGAAACUCUGACGCAGCAACGUCUUUUUUUAUGAUGAAGGCCUUAGGGUUGUAAAGUUCUGUCUUCUGGGACGAUAAUGACGGUACCAGAGGAGGAAGCCACGGCUAACUACGUGCCAGCAGCCGCGGUAA